rnacentral:rRNA from 1 species
AGUAAGGAAUAUUGGUCAAUGGACGAAAGUCUGAACCAGCCAUGCCGCGUGGAGGAUGAAGGUCCUCUGGAUUGUAAACUUCUUUUAUAUGGGACGAAAAAAGGGUUUUCUAACUCGUCUGACGGUACCAUAUGAAUAAGCACCGGCUAACUCCGUGCCAGCAGCCGCGGUAAUACGGAGGGUGCAAGCGUUAUCCGGAUUCACUGGGUUUAAAGGGUGCGUAGGUGGGUUGGUAAGUCAGUGGUGAAAUCUCCGAGCUUAACUUGGAAACUGCCAUUGAUACUAUCAGUCUUGAAUAUUGUGGAGGUCAGCGGAAUAUGUCAUGUAGCGGUGAAAUGCUUAGAUAUGACAUAGAACACCAAUUGCGAAGGCAGCUGGCUACACAUCUAUUGACACUGAGGCACGAAAGCGUGGGGAUCAAA